UACGGAGGGUGCGAGCGUUGUCCGGAAUCACUGGGCGUAAAGGGCGCGUAGGCGGCGCGGUUAGUCGGCGGUGAAAGCCCGAGGCUCAACUUCGGGUCGGCCGUCGAUACUGCUGCGCUGGAGCACUGUAGAGGCAGAUGGAAUUCCGGGUGUAGCGGUGGAAUGCGUAGAGAUCCGGAAGAACACCGGUGGCGAAGGCGGUCUGCUGGGCAGUUGCUGACGCUGAUGCGCG
rnacentral:rRNA from 1 species